rnacentral:lncRNA from 1 species
CCGGGGCCGAGGCUGGCGGGGGGCGGCGCUGCCAACACUCAAGCGCAGCUGAUCCCGUUUCAAAACCUGACGGUGACCUAUGAGCAGCUGCCUCAAAACCCGGGGAAAUGAGAAAACAAAGCAGAGCUGUAGCUCUUCUCUAAGGCUCCACGGCUUUCAACAUUCACACAGCUCACAAAAUUUGCCACAACCACAGGACGUGUUUAGUGAGUGCAGAAUAACGGACAACUGCCUUCAGCCGAUGAAAAAGAAGCAAACAAAGGAUGGAGAGAGCGUAGAAAGAAUGGAAUGUGCUUACAUGGAUCCCUCUGCAGGAGAUGGUUUAUCAGACGUUAUGAACUGCUUUUCUAUAGCUAAUGACUUCUCCAAAAAUACUGUUCUCUGCUGACCUUACAUCUUCAGUGGAAAGUCAGGAGACCCGCUCUGUCAAGUGGCUGAAAUGAUUUUAAACAAAACCACAGAAAAACACCUGCCUGCUGUGUUGUGUUUCCAUUGUGAACUAUUGUAUCUUCCUCUCUUCUCUGCCGUUAUCAUUCGUGAUUGCUCCAGUUAAUUAGUAUUCUCMAGAAUAACCAGUAGACCUUGUAGGUGAAAAGAAAAAAAAAUCAACUUUAUUUAAUGUGAGAGUUGAGGACACUUAGCCAGUAACCUGAUGAAUAGUUUAUACUGUCAGCUACUCAUACAGGAGUUCUGUCUCUGAGUUGCCUGUGCAAUGCCCAAUCCAUUAGUAAUGCUACACAGAUAACGAAGAGGGAUUUGCUUUUUUCCAGAGCUUUAGUAAUUACUCAUUGCUUCCUAUAAAAAUACGGAAAGCAACAUCCAGACUGUCUCAGCCCGGUGGAUCCUGCCUCUUCUGACUUUCAUGCCCAGUCACACUAGCRCACUUGACUUCGCCUUACAGAAGGAGAAGMGAGACAUUUGCACGCAGAAAGGAUGGUGCCCUUGCUUUGAUCUCCAUCUCUGCUGUACUGAACCGCUUCCAACAGCAAAGUGUAACGAGGCUCCAGCAAUACGGAAAACRCCAGCRCWCCRGGRUCRCCUGUGCCCCCMAGAGACAGCUAAUUCACCUCGCGCUGCUGYCGAGCCCCGUGCUGUGGGACUGCGUACACAUGUUUUACAAUUGGCUCGUCACCGUCAGCAGCGCCUGUCAUCGCUUCAAACCGGGAUGCUUCUGGAGUCACAGGGUGUCCCGUCACCUUUGCCUCUCGCAAUGCUAAUGAGACUCUGCUCUGUGCAAGCGCACAGCAGAGACGUGAAGGAUGUUUAUAAAUCGUGUUUGCUGUUGCCCCGUAGGAGUUACAAAGAGACC